CCUCAGCACAGCUAAGAAUAUCAUCACCACUGUGGCUUUGUGCAGUUUGAGUCAGAGGACCAAGUAUUCUAAACUGAAUGUUACAGAGCAGGAUUAAACAUAAAAUUAUGAUUUCUAAGUUAUACAGCACUCUUCAAAAAUUCAAGAAUACUAGUACUUCAAUGGUAUUUUGCUUGAGUAAGAGCUGCUGGAUGCAGACUGGAUUUAAUGGCUAGUAAACAGCUUUAGGAUUUGGCUUGCCAUUUGUACCUCUUAAAGACUUCUCUAUCCAAAAGUGCUAAUGUUUGACUCAACAAACUGUGUCAUUAGCUCAGCUAUAGUUUCAAGGAGAAAUUCCCUGGACAAGGAUAAGACUGCUCUGGAGCGACUGAAUUCCUUCCUGCAGAAAAAGUCUCUGAGGAUUAUAUUUCUCAGCAAGCCAAAGGGUAUUCAGAGGGAUGGAAAUUUCAGAUGUCUCUCCUCAGGUCUUCCUCCAAGUGUGCCACUACUCAUGACAGAGGGCAGAGAGAUUGUGCUGCACUCCUGCUUCACCCCUUCCUGUCAAACUAUCCGCAGGAGCAGCCAAAAUGUGACCUAAGCUCCAGCCAAGCAUGGACCCAGGUGGGAAUAAAACAGCUGAGGCUCAUUCUCAGCAAAGAGGAGGGUGCUGAUGGCAUGAGGAUUGCUGUCCCCAGUAUAUGUUAAGUUUACAAGAGCCAUCAACAAGAUCAGAAGCAGUCCAGAGGAGAUGCUACCUUCUACACCCUGCUGGGCAAAUUCGUCUUGCACGUACAGAUCAUGCUGGAAGUGCCAGAGGAUGUGGACACUUGCUUGGCGAGGCGGGCAGCCCACAUGCAACUGGUCCCCAGCCGGGCACGUGGCAUGGCUCAUGCGUGUCACCUGCCUUUCUGGAAAUGCAAGAGACUAAGACAUACAGCAGGGCUACACAUUGCUGCUCUGAAGAAAGGGUUUGCCUGUUGCACAGUGUAAUGUUUUGCUAUAGAAGUUUCGAGCAGUUUAUAUACAGUAUUCAAAUUGCACAGACUGGGGUUCA